GUGCAUGUGUGCUAGUAAGUAACUAGCUCAUUUGUGGUCCCUAGUUAGUUUUGCUUACAUGCUAGCUGACUUGCUGUUUGUGGUUCUUAGUUAAUUAGUUCGUUUUGAUGAUUGUGGGUUUGUUUAUUAGCUAAUUUAUUCAGUUAGGUAUGUGUAGUUGUAAGUAAAUUACAAAGUGUGGUUACUAACUACAGUAGUUAGUUACUCGCUGGCUGUCUAUUUAACUGGUGUGUUUCCGAACUAAUUAUAAACUUUAAAUUUACUGUUACUAGGUUGCUUGCUAUUGUGUGGUUACUAGCUAGUAAGUUACUUAUGAUUUCAAGCUAGUGGGUAUUAGUUCCCCUCGUCACAGAAGGCAAAUGGUAGAGCCCCGUCCACAAAAUUCACAGGAAUGUUACUUACGCACAUAUUGUUGAUGCCGAAAACUUCCACUAGCUACAAUGUGGUCAGAUGUGCACACACAGCAGUGGUGCGCAGUGUUGUCAGGUGUUUUCUAAUAGGAGUCAUGGCGAUACACAGCCGGCAAUGUCACUCUGAGGAGUGUGGAGCAUUGAGACAAAGCAGGAAACUACCCUCUGGUGAGCUCGUCAGUGCAUCGGUUACCCGGGCAACCGUCACUGGAUGAUGACCUGAUGUCACACUGGCAUUUAUUACCUCCACCAAGGGGGAUAUUUUUUCAUCCCUGUCGGUGGCCCAGGCUUAAAUACAACUUAGAUUUGGGCGCAUGAGGAAAGGAGGAAUCUAUUAGAUCUUAGAACAAGGCCGAAAGGAAUGACCUUGGGAAAUGAACCACGGCUGCUUCACAAAAUCUGACGGUAAAGACAUUCGUGUCUGAUCAUAUGUUAGAAAGCUUUUUUUUUUUCUUCGAAUUUCUUCUUCUAAUUUUUAGCUUUUAUUCUUCUAAAGCGGUUUAUGAACAGGGGCAUUUGUUCCCAUAUGGCUGAUUUCAAAUCAGUACAUUAGUGUUUACUUUCACUGCUAAAGUCAUAUUCAUAUCAAGCAAAAAAAAAAAGAUAUCAAAGGUCAUGUUCCCAAAAUAGUUGAGAUGUCCAAGGUGAAAUGUAAAAAACGUUUCUCUAGUAUUCCUUGU